GCCCCGGUAGCCCAAUCGGCAGCAGGCGAUGCUCUCAAACAGCAUACAGUGUGGGUUCGAAUCCCACCCGGGGCA
rnacentral:tRNA from 4 species